rnacentral:lncRNA from 1 species
CUUUCACUCUGGAAACUUGUUCUUCACAGGGAACAUGUUGUUAUGACAGAUAAUAUUGCUUAAAACUUGCUGAUCAUCUCUUUUAAAAUGCAGAUUGUAAGGAUCAAGACACUCCCUGGUGCAGGAAUGCUGCUUUUUGCUGCACUAUUUGUGUUUAGCCAACCUUCAUAUGUGGGGUCCGCAGAGGUGACCCAUUGGGCAGAGGUCAUGAUUGAGGGGA